UGGGGAAUAUUGGACAAUGGGGGCAACCCUGAUCCAGCAAUGCCGCGUGUGCGAAGAAGGCCUUCGGGUUGUAAAGCACUUUUGUCAGGGAAGAAAUCUUUCAGGCUAAUACCCUUGGAAGGAUGACGGUACCUGAAGAAUAAGCACCGGCUAACUACGUG
rnacentral:rRNA from 1 species